UGGAAAGAAAGAAUGUAGGAGUCAUUCAGCUCCACCCCUUCUCCAGGCCUAAAAAGAGUAUCAGCUCUGAGACCGCUUCAGCUUAAAAACGACUGCUCUGAGCAGUCGCUCAGUAUUCCAGGGACCACACUGGAUUCAAUACAUCAAAGGUUGAAGGAUCAUAUAGCCCCAUUAGCUGCAAAGUUUAAUUUCCCUUCGGGGCUGGUGGUUACAAUGAAACUACAGCAACAAUUACAACUUCCCCUUCACUGACAACCUGCUCAGAUCAAUAAAGCCUGCGUCACCAGGAUCAGCCUCAUUCGUCAGGAACUCUGGGCCACACAAGGCCCCAUACUGCACACCACACACCCUUCUUGCCGGGUGGCAGGGGGGAAAGCGUGGGGACACACACGUUUUAGGAUGCUGUCUCCCUCUCUGAGUUUGUAGAGGGGAAGCCUGAGGCCAAGAGAGCCAGAAACCUCAUCCAUUCAUUAAUUCACCAUAUGGUUAAUCAAGUAUCAACUCUUCUAGGCCUCAGGGAUAUGGCUGUUGAAGGAGGCAGAUGACAUACUUAUCUUUGUGGGGAAACAGAGGACUAUCUCAAUCGCGGUGAAUGAAUCACUUAUUGUCUGGUUCCUGGGCUGCCCUGGGCAAUCCAAGUCAACUCCUCUAAGCUUCAGCUUCUGCUUUUGUAUGUCCUCGUGUUACAAAAGCCAGAUGGGGUACAGUGGCAAGAAACAAGGGCGGAUCCAGCCUCCCACAAGACUUGGGAGGAAGGUGAGAGAUGCAGGAGAUGUAAGGUGGUCCCUCUGCACAGCUGGUCCUCAACCAAUAGAGCCCUCUGUUGUCAAGAUGGAUGGGCUCUGAGAACCGCCCAGCAGAGGGUUUAGGGGGCAGCAGGGGGGCUGGGGAGAGGGAUUAGUCAGGGCAUGCACCAUAGGACAAGCACAGAUGGUUAUGAUAAGACAGGAAGAGAGCCAUUCUCUGGUCAUGAAAUAUGCCCUCCAGCCGUUAUAAACGCCUUGGAAGAAUUAAUGCACAGAACUUUG
rnacentral:lncRNA from 10 species